AUGCUCCGGAUGCUCGGAAGUGAGCAGCCAAGAGAGUCCCGGAGACCAAGCAGGACAGGGGAAUUCCCCCAACGGACCUCCUCUCCUCGGGUCCCCUCCCCCACUGGGGGUGUGGCUCCCAGGCUCAACCUGAGUCCCGCCCAGCUGGGGGCCCAGGGGGGAUCUCCUCACAAGCCACGCCCUCUGCCCAUCCGCUCUUUGCCCCGGUCCUCGCCUCAGCUCUGCAGACCUGCAGCACAGGCCAGAGACGUGGAUGAAAUGGAAGGGGCCACACGUGGCAGCAGGCCUGGCCAGGAGCACCCAGGGAGACAAGGGCCCUCCCAUAGGGAAGACCCAGGGACGGACUCCAAGGGACACCUGCCCUUCCAAGGGAAGGAAGAACAUCGCCAUCCCUCUGAAAGGCGGGCGACGAAGGGAAUCCUGGAGACCGCAGAGGGCUCUCACAGCAGAGAAGGGAUCGCCAAGCGGAGCCUGCGGGCUGAGGGCUCCAGGCUGAAGCGGGGGAGAAGCCCUGAGGGCCCCCGUGGCAGUCGCCACCAAGAAAACGGACACAGACGGGGAGAAGAGAAGGUGAGGGGACGACCAUCCCCAGCUAAGGGGAGACCAAAGGACAAGGCUGACCCCAGCAGAGCAGGACGUCAGGGCAGAGGAGGUUCUGCCCACACCGCCCUGCAGCUCAAGAACAGGAGGACCCUGCCCGGGUCUCCAGAGAGGACCGCCGGCGGCGGACUCCUCCAGGACAGGCGAGAGGCCGGGCCCGCCUCCCGAAAGCGCCGCCACCACCUGUCGCCAGAAGCCCGCGCGCCCCUGUCGGGGCCCCUGUCCCGGCUCUUCAACCACGUGGGCGCGCUGGACGUGGCCCUGGGCGAGCUGCGGGCUCCCGGAGGCGCCUUCCUGCCGCUGCCCGCCCGCGGCCCGCAGCCCGCGGCCUCGCAGCGCGCCUGGCUCGCCUGGCAGCUGACGCAGGCGGGGGCGACCCUGCACGGGGCGGGGGCUGCGCUGGACGCCCUGCUCGCUGCCGCGCAGCCCCGGCCCGCCUGCCCGCAGCCUUCCCUGCCGGCGGCUCCGGGGCCGUAGGGAUCGCGCCCCGAUCCCGAGCCCGCGUCCUCCGCCCUUCCCGGGGACGCUCCCGUCUGCCCCGGAGCCCGUCCCGACUCUGCCCUCCCGACUCCCCGAGCAAGGGUCCUUGGCGGCAGUGAGCACACCCAGGCGACGAGCUCCCUCCCACAGCGCUACACCAUCCAACUGUCCGGGAAACAGUGUUAGGCCCCGACCAGGCCUCCCUUCCUACCAGGAUCCCCGCUCAGGGAAAGUGCUUCUCGUUUCCAAAGGACAGCCCGUGAAGAUGAGCGCUCAGAGCAAAUCCCUUCUUUUUCUUCCAGGGGCUCGGAUGACCAGCACUCUCACCCAUUUGGACCUUUGCACCAUUGCGUGUUUUCCUGCUAUAGGAAAAAUAAAGCCUGCACAGAGAAACA
rnacentral:lncRNA from 1 species